rnacentral:lncRNA from 1 species
UGUUUUAUGAAGUACUCUAACUGGUGAUAGAAAAUUGAUAGAACUCGCUACCUUUAAGCUCUGCAAUUGCUCACAGAUUCUAACAAAUACUUGGGGAAAUAUAAGGAAAAGAGAGCAAACUACACCUCUCUGUGGCAAAAGUCAUCCUGGCUUACCACAUGUACAAGUGUCAAUGGAGAACUAUUAAAGGAAUAGCAAUGGAGACAAUAGCAAG